GGCUACAGCCAUGCCACCCUGAAUGUGCCCGAUCUCGUCUGAUCUUGGAAGCUAAGCAGGGUCGGGCCUGGUUAGUACUUGGAUGGGAGACCACCUAGGAAUAUCAGGUGCUAUAGGCA
rnacentral:rRNA from 1 species